UACGUAGGGGGCAAGCGUUGUCCGGAUUUAUUGGGCGUAAAGCGCGCGUAGGCGGCGCGGUAUGUCGUGCGUGAAAUCUCCCGGCUUAACUGGGAGGGGCCGUGCGAAACUGGUGGGCUCGAGGCCGGUAGGGGGAAGUGGAAUUCCCGGUGUAGCGGUGAAAUGCGCAGAUAUCAGGAGGAACACCUAUUGCGAAGGCAGCUCGCUGGGACGGUACUGACGCUGAGACGCGAAAGCGUGGGGAGCAAACAGG
rnacentral:rRNA from 1 species